rnacentral:rRNA from 1 species
AACGAACGCUGGCGGCGUGCCUAACACAUGCAAGUCGACGAGAAAGGGGCUUCGGCCCUGAGUAAAGUGGCGCACGGGUGAGUAACACGUAGGUAACCUACCUCUAAGUUUAGGACAACCUGUCGAAAGAUGAGCUAAUACUGAAUGAGACCACAGUUUCUUCGGAAGCAGAGGUCAAAGGUAGCCUCUAUUUAUAAGCUAUCACUUAGAGAUGGGCCUGCGUACCAUUAGCAGUUGGUGAGGUAACGGCUCACCAAGGCAAAGAUGGUUAGCUGGUCUGAGAGGAUGAUCAGCCACACUGGAACUGAGACACGGUCCAGACUCCUACGGGAGGCAGCAGUGGGGAAUAUUGCGCAAUGGGCGAAAGCCUGACGCAGCAACG